rnacentral:rRNA from 1 species
UACGUAGGUGGCAAGCGUUAUCCGGAUUUACUGGGUGUAAAGGGCGUGUAGGCGGGAAAGCAAGUCAGAUGUGAAAACCAUGGGCUCAACCUGUGGCCUGCAUUUGAAACUGUUUUUCUUGAGUACUGGAGAGGCAGACGGAAUUCCUAGUGUAGCGGUGAAAUGCGUAGAUAUUAGGAGGAAUACCAGUGGCGAAGGCGGUCUGCUGGACAGCAACUGACGCUGAGGCGCGAAAGCGUGGGGAGCAAACAGG